CCUACGGGAUACAGCAGUGGGGAAUAUUGCACAAUGGGGGAAACCCUGAUGCAGCGACGCCGCGUGGGUGACGAAGUAUUUCGGUAUGUAAAGCCCUAUCAGCAGGGAAGAAGAUGACAGUACCUGACUAAGAAGCCCCGGCUAACUACGUGCCAGCAGCCGCGGUAAUACGUAGGGGGCAAGCGUUAUCCGGAUUUACUGGGUGUAAAGGGAGCGUAGGUGGCAUGGCAAGCCAGAAGUGAAAACCCGGGGCUUAACCCCGCGGAUUGCUUUUGGAACUGUCAGGCUGGAGUGCAGGAGGGGCAGGCGGAAUUCCUGGUGUAGCGGUGAAAUGCGUAGAUAUCAGGAGGAACACCGGUGGCGAAGGCAGCUUACUAAACUGCCACUGACAUUGAUGCUCGAAAGUGUGGGUAUCAAACAGGAUUAGAUACCCGUGUAGUC
rnacentral:rRNA from 1 species